ACUAAUUUGGCAGAUUUAAGUGCAUUAAAUUUAGAAUUUAUUUAUAUUGUAUUUUUACAAUAAUUAGUA
rnacentral:tRNA from 1 species